rnacentral:rRNA from 1 species
AAAGAUUAAGCCAUGCAUGUCUAAGUAUAAGCAAUUAUACCGUGAAACUGCGAAUGGCUCAUUAAAUCAGUUAUCGUUUAUUUGAUAGUACCUUACUACUUGGAUAACCGUGGUAAUUCUAGAGCUAAUACAUGCUGAAAACCCCAACUUCGGAAGGGGUGUAUUUAUUAGAUAAAAAACCAAUGCCCUUCGGGGCUCUUUGGUGAUUCAUGAUAACUUCUCAGAUCGCAUGGCCUUGCGCCGGCGACGGUUCAUUCAAAUUUCUGCCCUAUCAACUUUCGAUGGUAAGGUAUUGGCUUACCAUGGUUUCAACGGGUAACGGGGAAUUAGGGUUCGAUUCCGGAGAGGGAGCCUGAGAAACGGCUACCACAUCCAAGGAAGGCAGCAGGCGCGCAAAUUACCCAAUCCCGACACGGGGAGGUAGUGACAAUAAAUACUGAUACAGGGCUCUUUUGGGUCUUGUAAUUGGAAUGAGUACAAUUUAAACCUCUUAACGAGGAACAAUUGGAGGGCAAGUCUGGUGCCAGCAGCCGCGGUAAUUCCAGCUCCAAUAGCGUAUAUUAAAGUUGUUGCAGUUAAAAAGCUCGUAGUUGAACCUUUGGCCUGGCUGGCAGGUCCGCCUCACCGCGUGCACUUGUCCGGCCGGGCCUUUUCUUCUGGAGAACCGCAUGCCCUUCACUGGGUGUGUUGGGGACCAGGACUUUUACUUUGAAAAAAUUAGAGUGUUCAAAGCAGGCCUUUGCUCGAAUACGUUAGCAUGGAAUAAUAGAAUAGGACGUGCGGUCCUAUUUUGUUGGUUUCUAGGACCGCCGUAAUGAUUAAUAGGGACAGUCGGGGGCAUCAGUAUUCAAUUGUCAGAGGUGAAAUUCUUGGAUUUAUUGAAGACUAACUACUGCGAAAGCAUUUGCCAAGGAUGUUUUCAUUAAUCAGUGAACGAAAGUUAGGGGAUCGAAGACGAUCAGAUACCGUCGUAGUCUUAACCAUAAACUAUGCCGACUAGGGAUCGGGCGGUGUUUCUAUUUUGACUCGCUCGGCACCUCACGACAAA